UACGUAGGGUGCGAGCGUUAAUCGGAAUUACUGGGCGUAAAGGGCGCGUAGGCAGCCACUGCAAGUCAGUUGUGAAAUCUCCGGGCUUAACCCGGAAAGGUCAACUGAUACUGCAGGGCUAGAGUGCAGAAGGGGCAACUGGAAUUCUCGGUGUAGCGGUGAAAUGCGUAGAUAUCGAGAGGAACACCUGCGGCGAAGGCGGGUUGCUGGGCUGACACUGACGCUGAGGCGCGAAAGCUAGGGGAGCGAACGGG
rnacentral:rRNA from 1 species